AGUCGAACGGCAGCACGGACUUCGGUCUGGUGGCGAGUGGCGAACGGGUGAGUAAUGUAUCGGAACGUGCCUAGUAGCGGGGGAUAACUACGCGAAAGCGUAGCUAAUACCGCAUACGCCCUUCGGGGGAAAGCGGGGGACCUUCGGGCCUCGCACUAUUAGAGCGGCCGAUAUCGGAUUAGCUAGUUGGUGGGGUAACGGCUCACCAAGGCGACGAUCCGUAGCUGGUUUGAGAGGACGACCAGCCACACUGGGACUGAGACACGGCCCAGACUCCUACGGGAGGCAGCAGUGGGGAAUUUUGGACAAUGGGAAACCCUGAUCCAGCCAUCCCGCGUGUGCGAUGAAGGCCUUCGGGUUGUAAAGCACUUUUGGCAGGAAAGAAACGGCACGGGAUAAUACCCCGUGCAACUGACAGUACCUGCAGAAUAAGCACCGGCUAACUACGUGCCAGCAGCCGCGGUAUUACGUAGGGUGCAAGCGUUAAUCGGAAUUACUGGGCGUAAAGCGUGCGCAGGCGGUUCGGAAAGAAGAUGUGAAAUCCCAGAGCUUAACUUUGGAACUGCAUUUUUAACUACCGAGCUAGAGUGUGUCAGGGAGGUGGAAUUCCGCGUGUAGCAGUGAAAUGCGUAUGCGGAGGAACACCGAUGGCGAAGGCAGCCUCCUGGGAUAACACUGACGCUCAUGCACGAAAAGCGUGGGAGCAAACAGGAUUAGAUACCCUGGUAGUCCACGCCCUAAACGAUGUCAACUAGCUGUUGGGGCCUUCGGGCCUUGGUAGCGCAGCUAACGCGUGAAGUUGACCGCCUGGGGAGUACGGUCGCAAAGAUUAAAACUCAAAGGAAUUGACGGGGACCCGCACAAGCGGUGGAUGAUGUGGAUUAAUUCGAUGCAACGCGAAAAACCUUACCUACCCUUGACAUGUCUGGAAUCCCGAAGAGAUUUGGGAGUGCUCGCAAGAGAACCGGAACACAGGUGCUGCAUGGCUGUCGUCAGCUCGUGUCGUGAGAUGUUGGGUUAAGUCCGCAACGAGCGCAACCCUUGUCAUUAGUUGCUACGAAGGGCACUCUAAUGAGACUGCCGGUGACAAACCGGAGGAAGGUGGGGAUGACGUCAAGUCCUCAUGGCCCUCUGGGUAGGGCUUCACACGCCAUACAAUGGUCGGGACAGAGGGUCGCCAACCCGCGAGGGGAGCCGUCCGACCGGUCGUAGUCCGGAUCGCAGUCUGCAACUCGACUGCGUGAAGUCGGAAUCGCUAGUAAUCGCGGAUCAGCAUGUCGCGGUGAAUACGUUCCCGGGUCUUGUACACACCGCCCGUCACACCAUGGGAGUGGGUUUUACCAGAAGUAGUUAGCCUAACCGUAAGGAGGGCGAUUACCACGGUAGGAUUCAUGACUGGGGUGAAGUCGUAACAAGGUAG
rnacentral:rRNA from 1 species